rnacentral:rRNA from 1 species
AUUGAACGCUGGCGGCAGGCCUAACACAUGCCAGUCGAACGGUAACAGGAAGCAGCUUGCUGCUUCGCUGACGAGUGGCGGACGGGUGAGUAAUGUCUGGGAAACUGCCUGAUGGAGGGGGAUAACUACUGGAAACGGUAGCUAAUACCGCAUAACGUCGCAAGACCAAAGAGGGGGACCUUAGGGCCUCUUGCCAUCGGAUGUGCCCAGAUGGGAUUAGCUAGUAGGUGGGGUAACGGCUCACCUAGGCGACGAUCCCUAGCUGGACUGAGAGGAUGACCAGCCACACUGGAACUGAGACACGGUCCAGACUCCUACGGGAGGCAGCAGUGGGGAAUAUUGCACAAUGGGCGCAAGCCUGAUGCAGCCAUGCCGCGUGUAUGAAGAAGGCCUUCGGGUUGUAAAGUACUUUCAGCGGGGAGGAAGGGAGUAAAGUUAAUACCUUUGCUCAUUGACGUUACCCGCAGAAGAAGCACCGGCUAACUCCGUG